rnacentral:misc_RNA from 1 species
GAUGAAGAACGCAGCGAAAUGCGAUACGUAAUGUGAAUUGCAGAAUUCAGUGAAUCAUCGAAUCUUUGAACGCAUAUUGCGCUCUCUGGUAUUCCGGAGAGCAUGCUUGUUUGAGUAUCAGUAAACACCUCAACUUCCAUAUCUUUUUUGAAAUGGGAGUUGGACUUGAGUGAUCCCAACGCUUUUCCUCACCGAAAAGUGGCGGGUUACUUGAAAUGCAGGUGCAGCUGUACUUUUCUCUGAGCUAUAAGCAUAUCUAUUUAGUCUGCCUAAAAAACAGAUUAUUACCUUUGCUGCAGCUAACAUAAAGGAGAUUAGUUCUUGUGCUGACUGAUGCAGGAUUCACAAAGACAGGCUUCGGCCGACUUUGUAAACUCGAUCUCAAAUCAAGUAAGACUACCCGCUGAACUUAAGCAUAUCAAUAAGCGGAGGA